rnacentral:rRNA from 1 species
AUAGAACGCUGGCGGCCGGCCUAACACAUGCAAGUCGAGAGGAGCGGCGGACGGGUGAGUAAUGCCUAGGAAUCUGCCUGGUAGUGGGGGAUAACGUACGGAAACGGGCGCUCAUACAGCAUACUAUCAGAUGAGCCUAGGUCUGAUUAGCUAGUUGGUGGGGUAAAGGCCUACCAAGGCGACGAUCCGUAACUGGUCUGAGAGGAUGAUCAGUCACACCGGAACUGAGACACGGUCCAGACUCCUACGGGAGGCAGCAGUGGGGAAUAUUGCACAAUUGGCGAAAGCCUGAUCCAGCCAUGCCGCGUGUGUGAAGAAGGUCUUCGGAUUGUAAAGCACUUUAAGUUGGGAGGCGUUACCAACAGAAUAAGCACCGGCUAACUUCGUGCCAGCCGCCGCGGUAAUAC